UUACCGCUGAAGUUUCAGUUUAUAAAUAUUUACCUAUUCAUUUAUUUUUUGUUAUCAUUUGCAAAAGUGAUAGAACAAAAUAGAAAUGAAUUCCAUUAAAGAGGAAUGCAAAGUUAAUAAGCUAUAUUCAGUUAGUGUGUCCAUUAAAGAUGAAUGUUCAAAUAUUCAAAUUAAAGAGCAAAUUUCGAAAAUUGUAAUGGCAUGUUUGCUCGCUAUCACCGGUUUUAUUCUAUUCGCAGUCGGGCUUUCAAGUUUACUGGAAAAUCCCACUAUUUAUCAAGAUACAUGGGCUUGGACAAUCCCAUUAAGUAUUUUAUUGAUUGGUUUGAUAACAGUAUAGAUUGCUUAUUUGAGCUACAGUGCUAUACUAUGGAAAGAUUUAAAUGCAUCACUGUUUGUUUUAAGUAUGCUAACACUCAUCAUCGUUAUACAACUUUUAAUUGCAACUUAUAUCAGCCUCGAUGAAUAUUUAUGGUCUUUGAAUUUGGAAUAUUUUAUACCAGGCAAUUUUUCGCUGAUUGCCUACGAUAUUUCCGCCAUUCAGAUUUUCUGUUGGAUAUAUACAAUUUGUUUGUGCGACGAAUUUAUUGCAAAUGCCAAAGAAUCGCGACGAGAAAUUCUGAUCAAAUAUAUAAAUAUCAUUUUAUUAGCU